AGUCAGGGAAUGUUUACUUUGCCUCCACUUCUGUUCCUCCCCGCCCUGGUGCUGCUCCGGGUCACAUACUCGUCCUGAGCCGGCUUCAGCCUCUCCGCGCAGAAGUCUCCCGGAGCCGACUUCUGAGAGUCGAGUACUCCUAUGUGAAGACUACCAAGCUCGUGUUCAAGGGAACCAAGGCGAAGAGGUGGGUCCUGCAGCUCUGGCGGGAGCCUUCUCAGUUCUUUUCGGACGCACUCCACCCCCGCGAAUCCGGUGGAAGUCGUGCCGCGGAGAGCUGGCUUUGUGGCAUCCCAGGCUUCGCCCUGGCGCCUGUCCGGGCUGGAUGGAGGCCAGAUAGCGGUUCCUGGCGCCUGUGCAGAGAGGGGCAGCCUCCCGCGCGGACGACCCUGGAAACAGGAUAGACGGGCGGGUGACCCGUGGCCCCGUACCCACGAGUUUGGGUCCCCUGAGGCAUCUCUCCAGGCCUCUGCCUGGCGAGAUGGAAAGAAAGUAUCAAGGAGUGAGCUGAAGCCACUGCCCUUGAGAACCCUCUCGAGGAGUCUGGGCUCAUGAGGAUGCCAGAAUAAGUGGCAGUAAGAAGAAAAAGAACAAAGAUAAGAAAAGAAAAAGAGAAGAAGAUGAAGAAACCCAGCUUGAUAUGUUGGAAUCUGGUGGACAGUAACAAACUUUGGUGAAAUUUCAGGAACCAUAGCCAUUGAAAUGGAUGAGGGAACCUAUAUACAUGCACUCGAUAAUGGUCUUUUUACCCUGGGAGCUCCACACAAAGAAGUUGAUGAGGGCCCUAGUCCUCCAGAGCAGUUUUCGGCUGUCAAAUUAUCUGAUUCCAGAAUCACCCUGAAAUCUGGCUAUGGAAAAUAUCUUGGUAUAAAUUCAGAUGAACUUGUUGUUGGGCGUUCAGAUGCAAUUGGACCAAGAGAACAAUGGGAACCAGUCUUUAAAAUUGGGAAAAUGGCUUUGUCGACCUCAAAUAGCUGCUUUAUUAGAUACAGUGAAGCAGAGGACAUAGAAGCAAAAAGUAAAACAGCAGGAGAAGAAGAAAUGAUCAAGGCUCUCCUAAUCUCUGUCAGACCUUCACCUUUAUGACCUUGCCUUAUCUACCAGAACACAGAUCCCUCUUACUAAAGAUUAGAUCCUGUGCUGAAAGAGAAACCAAGAAAAAAGAUGACAUUCCAGAAGAAGACAAAGGAAAUAUAAAACAAUGUGAAAUCAA
ensembl:lncRNA novel transcript